rnacentral:rRNA from 1 species
ACAGGUGCUGCAUGGCUGUCGUCAGCUCGUGUCGUGAGAUGUUGGGUUAAGUCCCGCAACGAGCCGCAACCCUUAUCCCCAGUUGCCAUCAGGUAAAGCUGGGAACUCUGGGGAGACUGCCGGUGAUAAACCGGAGGAAGGCGGGGAUGACGUCAAGUCCUCAUGGCCCUUACAUCCCGGGCUACACACGUGCUACAAUGGCAGGUACAGAGGGCUGCCAACCCGCGAGGGGGAGCCAAUCCCAGAAAACCGAUCGUAGUCCGGAUUGCAGUCUGCAACUCGACUGCAUGAAGUCGGAAUCGCUAGUAAUCGCGGAUCAGCAUGUCGCGGUGAAUACGUUCCCGGGCCUU